rnacentral:lncRNA from 1 species
UUUUUUUUUUUUUUGAGGCGAAAAGCGAAAAUAUUGUUAUAAAUCAGAAAGAGCAAUAUCUUGAAGCCAAGUUGGGAAACCCGACUUCCAGAUCAUUACAUCGGGAACAGAAAAAGCAAAACGAGCAAGCUCAUGGGCCGCUCUAUUAGCUUCACGCCUAGCAUGAAAGAAUUCGAGCACCACACUGUCCCUCGCCUGUUGAAGCACCUCCCAGAUCUCAUCACAAAGGGAUUCAGUGCCCCGGGAUCCGUCUUGAAGCAAGUGAGUAGCAAUAAGAGAGUCCGAAUAAAGAACUACUGGGCCGAAGUCAUUCUCCAGACAAAAAUCAAUCGCAAGCAUCAUUACCUUAAGUUCUCCGAGUAACACCGUUGGGGUAUAGCCGAUACGCUGGCAGGCUGCUGCGACAAUCGAGCCCCCUGAAUCGCGAAGAAUGAAACCGGCUCCCAGCCGCUGCCCCCCUUCGUCAAAAGCAACGUCGACAUCGAGUCGGAGAACACCUUGUGGAGGAGGGUACCAUCGUCGCUCUCCCUCAAGAGGUAGAACUCGACCUGGGAUGAGUGUGUGCGUCCGCACUUUCUUGUACUCUUCCAGUUGAAGUCGGCAAUCUUGCAAAUCCACUUUUGCAUUCUCAAGAGUCGG